rnacentral:rRNA from 1 species
CCUACGGGGGGCAGCAGUGAGGAAUAUUGGUCAAUGGACGAGAGUCUGAACCAGCCAAGUAGCGUGAAGGAUGACUGCCCUAUGGGUUGUAAACUUCUUUUAUAUGGGAAUAAAACGUUCCACGUGUGGGAUUUUGUAUGUACCAUAUGAAUAAGGAUCGGCUAACUCCGUGCCAGCAGCCGCGGUAAUACGGAGGAUCCGAGCGUUAUCCGGAUUUAUUGGGUUUAAAGGGAGCGUAGGUGGAUUGUUAAGUCAGUUGUGAAAGUUUGCGGCUCAACCGUAAAAGUGCAGUUGAAACUGGCAGUCUUGAGUACAGUAGAGGUAGGCGGAAUUCGUGGUGUAGCGGUGAAAUGCUUAGAUAUCACGAAGAACUCCGAUUGCGAAGGCAGUUCACUGGACUUCAACUGACACUGAGGCUCGAAAGUGUGGGUAUCAAACAGGAUUAGAUACCCGAGUAGUC